rnacentral:rRNA from 1 species
UACGUAGGGUGCGAGCGUUGUCCGGAAUUAUUGGGCGUAAAGAGCGUGUAGGCGGUCCGGUAAGUCAGCUGUGAAAGUCAAGGGCUCAACCCUUGAAUGCCGGUUGAUACUGUCGGGCUAGAGUCCGGAAGAGGCGAGUGGAAUUCCCGGUGUAGCGGUGAAAUGCGCAGAUAUCGGGAGGAACACCAAUGGCGAAGGCAGCUCGCUGGGACGGUACUGACGCUGAGGCACGAAAGUGUGGGGAUCAAACAGG